GACGAACGCUGGCGGCGUGCUUAACACAUGCAAGUCGAACGGAAAGGCCCUGCUUUUGUGGGGUGCUCGAGUGGCGAACGGGUGAGUAACACGUGAGUAACCUGCCCUUGACUUUGGGAUAACUUCAGGAAACUGGGGCUAAUACCGGAUAGGAGCUCCUGCUGCAUGGUGGGGGUUGGAAAGUUUCGGCGGUUGGGGAUGGACUCGCGGCUUAUCAGCUUGUUGGUGGGGUAGUGGCUUACCAAGGCUUUGACGGGUAGCCGGCCUGAGAGGGUGACCGGCCACAUUGGGACUGAGAUACGGCGCAGACUCCUACGGGAGGCAGCAGUGGGGAAUAUUGCACAAUGGGCGGAAGCCUGAUGCAGAAACGCCGCGUGCGGGAUGACGGCCUUCGGGUUGUAAACCGAUUUCGCCUGUGACGAAGCGUGAGUGACGGUAAUGGGUAAAGAAGCACCGGCUAACUACGUG
rnacentral:rRNA from 1 species